GCCAGACUCCUACGGGAGGCAGCAGUGAGGAAUAUUGGUCAAUGGGCUUACGCCUGAACCAGCCAAGUCGCGUGAGGGAGGACUACCCUAUGGGUUGUAAACCUCUUUUGUCAGGGAGCAACGCCGGCUACGUGUAGCCGGACUGAGAGUACCUGAAGAAAAAGCAUCGGCUAACUCCGUGCCAGCAGCCGCGGUAAUACGUAGGGGGCAAGCGUUAUCCGGAUUUACUGGGUGUAAAGGGAGCGUAGACGGCAAUACAAGUCGGAAGUGAAAUACCCGGGCUCAACCUGGGAACUGCUUUGGAAACUGUAUGGCUAGAGUGCUGGAGAGGUAAGCGGAAUUCCUAGUGUAGCGGUGAAAUGCGUAGAUAUUAGGAGGAACACCAGUGGCGAAGGCGGCUUACUGGACAGUAACUGACGUUGAGGCUCGAAAGCGUGGGGAGCAAACAGGAUUAGAUACCCUGGUA
rnacentral:rRNA from 1 species